rnacentral:rRNA from 1 species
UACGUAGGGGGCAAGCGUUGUCCGGAAUCAUUGGGCGUAAAGCGCGUGUAGGCGGCUCGAUAAGUCUGCUGUGAAAGUCCAGGGCUCAACCCUGGAAUGCCGGUGGAAACUGUCGAGCUAGAGUCCGGAAGAGGCGAGUGGAAUUCCCGGUGUAGCAGUGAAAUGCGUAGAGAUCGGGAGGAACACCAGUGGCGAAGGCGGCUACCUGGACCAGCACUGACACUGAGGCACGAAAGCGUGGGGAGCAAACAGG